UCAAGACCUUAAAAUAUGCCGGAUAAUAAAAUCUACUGAUUAAAAUCCAAAGAAUAUGGCGGUGUUUUUAUAUAACCAGGGGAACCUGUUUCUUAAUUCGAUAUUCCACGAUAUUUCAACCUUCUUUGAAUUUCAGCCUGUGUACUGCUGUCGCCAGUAAACCUAUAAAAGUGUUUACAAUAAAUACUAAUCUAUUAUACGUCAAGUCAAAGUGCAGCAUAUAAGAAGGAGAUAAUGGGUUACACUCUAGAUAUAGAUCUAACGAAAGGAUUAAAUAAAAAAACCCUAAAGGUGGACUUGGAAGUAAUAUUCAUAAAAUAAAUAUAUAAAUUUUUCUAAAACAUGUACACAUCGCCCGUCACUCUCAUCUAAAGACG
rnacentral:rRNA from 1 species